rnacentral:lncRNA from 1 species
CCAGUCGUGAUGCCAGUAGAAAAUCUCCUGCUGGUUCUACUAGACUCAAACCAAAUCAGUCCCAACUUCUUCAAUUGUCCUAGUCAAAGUGAUGGGGUAGGUAAGGAGGGGACUGUACCAGAAUCCUUAUUGAAACAAGCUCGUAAAACAGGUUCACCGGCUGAACCUGUGAAACAGGGGCAUUAGUGUUUCCUCCUAAACUGUGGAGACUCAAUAUUGAUCCUCCUGAUGGUAGUACUGCUUCAUUUGAUGUUGAUGAGAGAUGGUAGGACCAGGUCGAACUGACUAGACUGGAUCCAUCAUCUAAUGAAAUCAAAGAAAUAUCUGAAGAUAUUGAAAACUUUAAUUGAUUGUCAGCACUUGAGGUCCAGUACAAUGAGUUAACAUGUCUACCUAAUAAUGUGAUCAAACUGGAUAAACUAUCUAAAAUAUUUGCAAACUUUUAGCUGCUUCAUUGUAGUUAACUUAUUAAUUUGCUAACUUGAUUCAUACACUUUACUAAUCCAUGAAAACUGUACCUAAGGAGUGGCACACACAAUUAUAAGGAAAAGUGAUAGAAAAACAGGAAACAUUUCCUAUCACCAGUCUCUCCUAUAUGUAAGGAAAGUUUGAGUCUCUUCAUUAUUUUCUCUUUGAUGUCCUCCUCUUAAUUAAAUGAAUGAGACCUGACAUCCUCCGGAAAACAGUAUUGGUCCUCUGGUAUCUCUUGUAUUGAAGAACCAGGAGACCACAUGUGACGGCCAACCUCUCCCUCGUCCCUCAAGAUCCCCUCGUCACCAUACAAGUAAGGAUGAGGAGUGGGUGGAGUGAGGGGAGGUGUGGUGAGAAAGGAAGUUGUGAUGAUGAAAGCUAUGCUACCUCCUGAGUUAUGGUAUACUGUUACUGUUCUUAUGGGGUACCCAAUGUAUGCUCCGUUUCAUCAAAGAGGAAGAAUUACUCUAACAACUAGAUCGGUAGCGUUGCUGAGGAAAAUGACGGUUGCUAUGACAACUGUACAUAUACAUGUACAUCAAUGAAGAGAUA